CAUGUGAGGGAGAAGAACAAUGAAAAUGAAGAAAACAACCACACAAGCUUUUCUUCUUCUAUGUUUGCUUCAUAUAUUUCUAUGUCUAUCCUUUCAGGCUCGUGUCCACCAAGGUAAACCUGAGAUAUGCGUAAGACCCUCCCCACCAUGUGGAGAUUCUCCCAAGGGAGGUGAAGAUACGCCGGCACGUGAUUAUAAAAAGCCUUGUAAACCCAUUCCAAGACCUCCUCCUCCUCGAGAUUGCUAGCAACGACAAGCCUACCACAUCUAUAACAUCAAUGUUUUGUUUAGUAACCAUUCAUCGAGACUAAUUUAUUUGCACGAUGUACCAAUAAUAUCGCUUUAAUUAUGCCUUGUUUCUUUCAAAACUUCUAUGUAUUUGUAGCAAAAAAAAUAACUAAAAGAUGAGAAUAAUAAGGAUGUUGUAGAGGUUA